rnacentral:lncRNA from 1 species
GUGAGCAUGAGCUCUAACUGGAAUCUGCUGUUUCCUCCCCAGUACUUUAAGACAAUCACUCUUGCUGGCCUUCAUGGAGCUCACACUCAUUGCACCAUGCCCUCAGAGGAACCACAGACAAGUACUGAUGGGGAAGCAGUCCUGCCACCUACGCUUUCUGUGAUAAGGAAGAAAGUGGAGACUCGGAUUGGAGCGGGAGAAAGGCAAACAGUGAUCAGCAAUUUGCCUGAGGGAUAGAAAUCAUGAAGUUCUAGAUACUACCUUCAUUCCUCUACAUGGCUCUUCUUCCAUCUUCAAAGUGUCACUCCAACUUCUACUUCCAUCUUCACAUCAAAUUCUCCGACUCUGACCCUCCUGCUCUCCUUUUAUAAGGAUCUUUGCAACUCCAUUGGGCCCACUGGAUCAUCCAGGUUAAUUUCUCCAUCUCGGGAUCAUUAACUUAAUGACAUCUGCAAAACCACCUUUACUAUGUAAGUUAAUAUAGUCACAGAUUUGGGGCUGUCCAAACGUGGACAUCUUUGGAGGGUCAUUAUUCUACCUACCACACAUAGAUUCUCCCUUAGAGCUUCUGG